rnacentral:rRNA from 1 species
UACGUAGGGGGCGAGCGUUGUCCGGAGUUACUGGGCGUAAAGGGUCCGCAGGCGGUGUGCCAAGUUUAUGCUGACAGUCCUCGGCUCAACCGAGGAAGGCGCGUAAAAACUGGCAGACUUGAGGGCUUCAGAGGAAUGCGGAAUUCCGGGUGGAGUGGUGAAAUGCGUAGAUAUCCGGAGGAACACCAAAGGCGAAGGCAGCAUUCUGGGAAGUACCUGACGCUCAGGGACGAAAGCCAGGGGAGCGAACGG